AUGUCAUGUUGAGGGCAGCUUGUGCACAAUUGAUUGAAUCUUUCCCAAUAUUCAUAUAGCUCUUCAUAAUCCUUUUACUUAAUGCAAAUGAUCUCUCUUCUGAUGCC